rnacentral:misc_RNA from 1 species
UCGAAUCUACUCUGAAGAGGGAGAGAGACUGUCGCUGGUCUAUGCCUAUAGUAUAGGCAUGUGCACGUCCCCUCACCUUUUUCUAUCUACACACACCUGUGCACUUAUUGUAGAUCCCCCUCGAAAGAGAGGGUUCUAUGUUUUAUUACAUCACACAAAAAGUAUGGCUAGAAUGUAAUGAUAAUGAUAAUGUAUACAAAUA